GCCCAGACUCCUACGGGAGGCAGCAGUGGGGAAUAUUGCACAAUGGGGGAAACCCUGAUGCAGCGACGCCGCGUGAGCGAUGAAGUAUUUCGGUAUGUAAAGCUCUAUCAGCAGGGAAGAAGAUGACGGUACCUGACUAAGAAGCCCCGGCUAACUACGUGCCAGCAGCCGCGGUAAUACGUAGGGGGCAAGCGUUAUCCGGAUUUACUGGGUGUAAAGGGAGCGUAGACGGCGAUGCAAGCCAGAUGUGAAAGCCCGGGGCUCAACCCCGGGACUGCAUUUGGAACUGUGUGGCUGGAGUGUCGGAGAGGCAGGCGGAAUUCCUAGUGUAGCGGUGAAAUGCGUAGAUAUUAGGAGGAACACCAGUGGCGAAGGCGGCCUGCUGGACGAUGACUGACGUUGAGGCUCGAAAGCGUGGGGAGCAAACAGGAUUAGAUACCCCUGUAA
rnacentral:rRNA from 1 species